UACGUAGGGGGCAAGCGUUGUCCGGAUUUAUUGGGCGUAAAGAGCGUGUAGGCGGCCAUACAGGUCAGCUGUGAAAACUCGAGGCUCAACCUCGAGACGUCGGUUGAAACCGUAUGGCUAGAGUCCGGAAGAGGAGAGUGGAAUUCCCGGUGUAGCGGUGAAAUGCGCAGAUAUCGGGAAGAACACCCGUGGCGAAGGCGGCUCUCUGAGACGGUACUGACGCUGAGACGCGAAAGCGUGGGGAGCGAACAGG
rnacentral:rRNA from 1 species